rnacentral:rRNA from 1 species
UACGGAGGGGGCAAGCGUUGUUCGGAAUUAUUGGGCGUAAAGGGUGCGUAGGCGGUUUGGUAAGUCUUAUGUGAAAUCUACAGGCUCAACUUGUAGUCUGCAUGAGAAACUGCCGGGCUUGAGUAUGGGAGAGGUGAGUGGAAUUUCCGGUGUAGCGGUGAAAUGCGUAGAUAUCGGAAGGAACACCUGUGGCGAAAGCGGCUCACUGGACCAUUACUGACGCUGAGGCACGAAA